rnacentral:rRNA from 1 species
AGUGAACGCUGGCGGCGUGCUUAACACAUGCAAGUCGAACGAGAACGGAAUAUAGCUUGAUAUAUUUGUCAGCUAAGUGGCGCACGGGUGAGUAAUGUAUAGAUAACCUGCCCUUAAGAAAGGAAUAACAGUUGGAAACGACUGCUAAUGCCCUAUAUGCCUUUAAUACAUAAGUAUGCAAGGGAAACGCUUUAGUGCUUAAGGAUGGGUCUGUAUGGUAUCAGCUUGUUGGUGAGGUAAUGGCUCACCAAGGCUAUGACGCCUAACUGGUUUGAGAGGAUGAUCAGUCACACGGGAACUGGGACACGGUCCAGACUCCUACGGAAGGCAGCAGUGGAGAAUAUUGCACAAUGGACGAAAGUCUGAUGCAGCAACGCCGCGUGGAGGAUGACACAUUUCGGUGCGUAGACUCCUUUUAUAUAGGAAGAUAAUGACGGUACUAUAUGAAUAAGCACCGGCUAACUCCGUGCCAGCCGCCGCGGUAA